GUCGUUGUUGACUCAACCGGGGGCGUGGUCGGUUCACGGCCGGCCGCGGCGGGCCGGGGUGUCGUCGUUCGGGAUCAGCGGCACCAAUGC
rnacentral:tRNA from 1 species